AUUGAACGCUGGCGGCAGGCCUAACACAUGCAAGUCGAACGAGUGGCGGACGGGUGAGUAAUGUCUGGGAAACUGCCUGAUGGAGGGGGAUAACUACUGGAAACGGUAGCUAAUACCGCAUACCAUCAGAUGUGCCCAGAUGGGCUUAGCUUGUUGGUGGGGUAACGGCUCACCAAGGGGACGAUCCCUAGCUGGUCUGAGAGGAUGACCGGCCACACUGGAACGGAGACACGGUCCAGACGCCUACGAGAGGCAGCAGUGGGGAAUAGGGCGAAAUGGGCGCAAGCCUGAUGCAGCCAGGCCGCGUGUAUGAAGAAGGCCUUCGGGUUGUAAAGUACGUUCAGCGGGGAGGCGUUACCCGCAGAAGAAGCACCGGCUAACUCCGUGCCAGCAGCCGCGGUAAUUC
rnacentral:rRNA from 1 species